rnacentral:rRNA from 1 species
UACAGAGGGGGCAAGCGUUAUUCGGAAUUAUUGGGCGUAAAGGGCGCGUAGGCGGCUUGGCAAGUGGAAGGUGAAAUCCCUCGGCUUAACCGAGGAACUGCCCUCCAAACUGCUUCGCUUGAGACCGGGAGAGGUGAGUGGAAUUCCCAGUGUAGCGGUGAAAUGCGUAGAUAUUGGGAGGAACACCAGUGGCGAAGGCGGCUACCUGGACAGAAACUGACGCUGAGGCGCGAAAGCUAGGGGAGCAAACAGG